GGCUGAAAUUCGCCUUCAUGAAGUCGGAAUUGCUAGUAAUGGCAGGUCAGCAUACUGCCGUGAAUACGUUCCCGGGCCUUGUACACACCGCCCGUCACACCAUGAGAGUUGGAGAUACCCGAAGCCUAUGAGCUAACUUUUAGAGGCAGUAGUCGAAGGUAGAAUCAAUGAUUGGGGUGAAGUCGUAACAAGGUAGC
rnacentral:rRNA from 1 species